rnacentral:rRNA from 1 species
CGGGACGGGGUGGAGUAAUGUCUGGGAAACUGCCCGAUGGAGGGGGAUAACUACUGGAAACGGUAGCUAAUACCGCAUAACGUCGCAAGACCAAAGAGGGGGACCUCCGGGCCUCUUGCCAUCGGAUGUGCCCAGAUGGGAUUAGCUAGUAGGUGAGGUAACGGCUUACCUAGGCGACGAUCCCUAGCUGGUCUGAGAGGAUGAUCAGCCACACUGGGACUGAGACACGGCCCAG